rnacentral:rRNA from 1 species
AGGAGACGUUGAAUACAAAACACCACCAUCGGCGCGGUCGUCCUUGGCGUUCGUGUUCACGCACGAGCGCGAGGGCGGCUUAUCCCGAUGGCACCGGUGAAU